AGAAAUCAACACAAAUCAUGUUCCCGACAUCUUUACUGCUGCUUUUGGCAGCAAUGACCUGUACGGAGUGUAACAUUGUCCUGACGCAGAUGAACUCUAUAGUUCUGCAGCCGGGACACUCACUUACUCUCACAUGUGAGGUGUCUGGAUACUCUGUUACUGAUAAUAGCUACGCAACAGCCUGGAUACGACAUCCUGCAGGAAAAGCUCUGGAGUGGAUUGUGCACAUAUGGGGAGGUGGAGGCAUAACAAAAAAAGACUCACUGUCAGACAGGUUCAGCAUCUCCAAAAGUGACUCCAGCAACACAGUGACUCUUAAAGGACAAAAUCUACAGACUGAAGACACAGCUGUGUAUUACUGCGCCAGACGACCACAACAUGAGAAAACGGCACAAGCUCUGUACAUGAACUGCUAUUUAUUCUGUCAGUGA